rnacentral:rRNA from 1 species
UACAGAGGUGGCAAGCGUUGUUCGGAAUUACUGGGCGUAAAGGGCGCGUAGGCGGCCCGCUAAGUCGAACGUGAAAUCCCUGGGCUCAACCCAGGAACUGCGUCCGAUACUGGCAGGCUUGAAUCCGGGAGAGGGAUGCGGAAUUCCAGGUGUAGCGGUGAAAUGCGUAGAUAUCUGGAGGAACACCGGUGGCGAAGGCGGCAUCCUGGACCGGCAUUGACGCUGAGGCGCGAAAGCUAGGGGAGCAAACGGG